rnacentral:rRNA from 1 species
CUACGGGUUGCACCAGUGAGGAAUAUUGCACAAUGGGGGGAACCCUGAUGCAGCAACGCCGCGUGGAGGAUGACGCAUUUCGGUGUGUAAACUCCUUUUAUAUGUCAAGAAAAUGACGGUAGCAUAUGAAUAAGCACCGGCUAACUCCGUGCCAGCAGCCGCGGUAAUACGGAGGGUGCAAGCGUUACUCGGAAUCACUGGGCGUAAAGGACGCGUAGGCGGGUUGGAAAGUCAGGUGUGAAAUCCUACAGCUUAACUGUAGAACUGCACUUGAAACUUCUAAUCUAGAGUAUGGGAGGGGGGGAUGGAAUUAAUGGUGUAGGGGUAAAAUCCGUAGAUAUCACUAGGAAUACCUAAAGCGAAGGCGAUCUCCUGGAACAUUACUGACGCUAAGGCGUGAAAGCGUGGGGAGCAAACAGGAUUAGAUACCCUCGUAGUC